rnacentral:rRNA from 1 species
GCUCGAAAGUGUGGGUAUCAAACAGGAUUAGAUACCCUGGUAGUCCACACGGUAAACGAUGGAUACUCGCUGUUGGCGAUAUACUGUCAGCGGCCAAGCGAAAGCAUUAAGUAUCCCACCUGGGGAGUACGCCGGCAACGGUGAAACUCAAAGGAAUUGACGGGGGCCCGCACAAGCGGAGGAACAUGUGGUUUAAUUCGAUGAUACGCGAGGAACCUUACCCGGGCUUAAAUUGCAGACGAAUUACUUGGAAACAGGUAAGCCGCAAGGCGUCUGUGAAGGUGCUGCAUGGUUGUCGUCAGCUCGUGCCGUGAGGUGUCGGCUUAAGUGCCAUAACGAGCGCAACCCUCGUGGUCAGUUACUAACAGGUUAAGCUGAGGACUCUGGCCAGACUGCCAUCGUAAGAUGUGAGGAAGGUGGGGAUGACGUCAAAUCAGCACGGCCCUUACGUCCGGGGCUACACACGUGUUACAAUGGGAGGUACAGAAGGCUGCUACCCGGCGACGGGAUGCCAAUCCCCAAAACCUCUCUCAGUUCGGACUGGAGUCUGCAACCCGACUCCACGAAGCUGGAUUCGCUAGUAAUCGCGCAUCAGCCACGGCGCGGUGAAUACGUUCCCGGGCCUUGUACACACCGCCCGUCAAGCCAUGAAAGCCGGGGGUACCUGAAGUGCGUAACCGCAAGGAGCGCCCUAGGGUAAAACCGGUAAUUGGGGCUAAGUCGUAACAAGGUAGCCGUACCGGAAGGUGCGGCUG